rnacentral:rRNA from 1 species
GACGAACGCUGGCGGCGUGCUUAACACAUGCAAGUCGAACGGAAAGGCCCUGCUUUUGUGGGGUGCUCGAGUGGCGAACGGGUGAGUAACACGUGAGUAACCUGCCCUUGACUUUGGGAUAACUUCAGGAAACUGGGGCUAAUACCGGAUAGGAGCUCCUGCUGCAUGGUGGGGGUUGGAAAGUUUCGGCGGUUGGGGAUGGACUCGCGGCUUAUCAGCUUGUUGGUGGGGUAGUGGCUUACCAAGGCUUUGACGGGUAGCCGGCCUGAGAGGGUGACCGGCCACAUGGGGACUGAGAUACGGCCCAGACUCCUACGGGAGGAAGAAGUGGGGAAUAUUGCACAAUGGGCGGAAGCCUGAUGCAGCAACGCCGCGUGCGGGAUGACGGCCUUCGGGUUGUAAACCGCUUUCGCCUGUGACGAAGCGUGAGUGACGGUAAUGGGGAAAGAAGCACCGGCUAACUACGU